CGAGAAGAGAGGAACAUGAAGCUGCAGGAAAUCAAUGAUACAAACAACACACACAACAAAACAAACCUGAAACGCAAAGGAUUGCACAUAUUGACCAACCAGCGUCCGGCAGCAGAGCAGAGCAGAGGAAAUAGCGAUCAGACCUCUCUAAUUGAAAACACACGUGGACUGGGAGCCCGCCCCUACCACGGCAAGAUCGAUAUCAAAUCGAACGGAUCGAAUCGUGGAUCGAAUCGGAUCGUGACCUUAUGAAUCGGAAUCGGAUCGAUCCAGGAAAUUUGGAUCGAUUCCCAGCCCUAGCGAGCAAGGCGCCCUGAACAAAGGUUUGUGUUGCGAAAGAGACAAACUCACCCUGUGUGAUGUCUGGCUAAACACUUUCAUUGUUUCUCUUCUGAAAGCAAUUACCAAGUGUUGGAAGCCUAGAAACUCACCUUGUCAUCUCCA
ensembl:lncRNA